rnacentral:misc_RNA from 1 species
CAAGAAGCCGAGAGGCUACUUCAAACCAUCGCGAACUCGUCCUAGUUGCUUCGGCGGUGCGGCCUCCCCCCGGGGGGCCGCGGCGCCGCGCCUCCCCCGGAGGUGCGGGGCGCCCGCCGGAGGUCACAAACUCUCGUGUAUUAUAGUGGCAUCUCUGAGUAAGACACAGACAAGUCA